UACGUAGGGGGCAAGCGUUGUCCGGAUUUAUUGGGUCGUAAAGAGCGUGUAGGCGGUUUGGUAGGUCCGUUGUUGAAAACUCGAGGCUCAACCUCGAGACGCCGGCGGAAACCAUCGAGGCUAGAGUCCGGAAGAGGAGAGUGGAAUUCCUGGUGUAGCGGUGAAAUGACGCAGAUAUCAGGAAGAACACCCGUGGCUAAGGCGGCUCUCUAGUACGGUACUGACGCUGAGACGCGAAAGCGUGGGGAGCGAACAGGA
rnacentral:rRNA from 1 species